GAAUCUUCGGCAAUGGGCGAAAGCCUGACCGAGCAACGCCGCGUGAGUGAGGAAGGUCUUCGGAUUGUAAAACUCUGUUGUUAGGGAAGAACGGCUAGGAGAGAAUCUUAGAAUGACGGUACCUAACGAGAAAGCCCCGGCUAACUACGUGCCAGCAGCCGCGGUAAUACGUAGGGGGCAAGCGUUGUCCGGAAUCAUUGGGCGUAAAGCGCGCGCAGGCGGUCCUUUAAGUCUGAUGUGAAAGCCCACGGCUCAACCGUGGAGGGCCAUUGGAAACUGGGGGACUUGAGUGCAGUAGAGGAGAGUGGAAUUCCUGGUGUAGCGGUGAAAUGCGUAGAUAUCAGGAGGAACACCAAUGGCGAAGGCAGCUCUCUGGACUGUAACUGACGCUGAGGCGCGAAAGCGUGGGGAGCAAAC
rnacentral:rRNA from 1 species